rnacentral:rRNA from 1 species
AUUGAACGCUGGCGGCAGGCUUAACACAUGCAAGUCGAGCGGAGAGAGGUAGCUUGCUCCUGAUCUUAGCGGCGGACGGGUGAGUAAUGCUUAGGAAUCUGCCUAUUAGUGGGGGACAACAUUUCGAAAGGAAUGCUAAUACCGCAUACGUCCUACGGGAGAAAGCAGGGGAUCUUCGGACCUUGCGCUAAUAGAUGAGCCUAAGUCGGAUUAGCUAGUUGGUGGGGUAAAGGCCUACCAAGGCGACGAUCUGUAGCGGGUCUGAGAGGAUGAUCCGCCACACUGGGACUGAGACACGGCCCAGACUCCUACGGGAGGCAGCAGUGGGGAAUAUUGGACAAUGGGCGCAAGCCUGAUCCAGCCAUGCCGCGUGUGUGAAGAAGGCCUUAUGGUUGUAAAGCACGUUAAGCGAGGAGGAGGCUACUUUAGUUAAUACCUAGAGAUAGUGGACGUUACUCGCAGAAUAAGCACCGGCUAACUCUGUG